UGCGUAACGCGUGGGAAUCUGCCCUUGGGUUCGGAAUAACAGUGAGAAAUUACUGCUAAUACCGGAUGAUGUCUUCGGACCAAAGAUUUAUCGCCCAGGGAUGAGCCCGCGUAGGAUUAGGUAGUUGGUGGGGUAAUGGCCUACCAAGCCGACGAUCCUUAGCUGGUCUGAGAGGAUGAUCAGCCACACUGGGACUGAGACACGGCCCAGACUCCUACGGGAGGCAGCAGUGGGGAAUAUUGGACAAUGGGCGAAAGCCUGAUCCAGCAAUGCCGCGUGAGUGAUGAAGGCCUUAGGGUUGUAAAGCUCUUUUACCAGGGAUGAUAAUGACAGUACCUGGAGAAUAAGCUCCGGCUAACUCCGUGCCAGCAGCCGCGGUAAUACGGAGGGAGCUAGCGUUGUUCGGAAUUACUGGGCGUAAAGCGCGCGUAGGCGGUUACUCAAGUCAGAGGUGAAAGCCCGGGGCUCAACCCCGGAACUGCCUUUGAAACUAGGUGACUAGAAUCUUGGAGAGGUCAGUGGAAUUCCGAGUGUAGAGGUGAAAUUCGUAGAUAUUCGGAAGAACACCAGUGGCGAAGGCGACUGACUGGACAAGUAUUGACGCUGAGGUGCGAAAGCGU
rnacentral:rRNA from 1 species